rnacentral:siRNA from 1 species
AGCCCAACUAAUAUCGAGGUGUAC